AAACAAUAUGAAGUGAGCAUAUAGUUAGUAGACCAAUAGAUACCGUAUUAAGUCUAAGUUAAAGAGGUUAGAAUGGAUGGAAUUGGAUUGUAUCGUAUAUUUUUACAAACACAUCAACCCCAGCUUAAGUCUUCCGGAGUACCAAAAAUAUUUUGGGAAGCUUUAUAUAAUAAAUUAAAAAAUCAGGAUUUCGAUGCCGGUAGUGCAUUUCAAUUGGCAAGAAUUGAUUAUGAAGAUGAUGAAAGAGAGCCUAAGGAUCCCAUUUGGAAAUUGUUUGUGUCAGCAGAAAAUGGUAUUUCUAUGAUAGAUCCAAAUAAUAUAUAUUUAGUGGAUCACGCGUGGACAUAUGAUACACUUAAUGCGAGAGAAAAUUUAACCAAUGUACCAGCCCUCUUAGAUAGAAUGUGUUCUCUUAUGGGAUAUGAUAUUGAUAACGAAGAGAACGAAAAGAUUGAAUUUGUACUUAAGGAAAUGUGGAGAUAUAAUCAGUCAUUCUCUCUUAACAGUGGUACCAUAGAAGAUAGAAUGCCCAUUUGGUAUAUAAUGGAUGAAGUUGGAUCCGCUAUAAAUCAUAGCGAUUAUCCUAACUUUAGGACCGUACCAUUUCUUUAUUUACCAGAAGGUGUAACGUAUACACUUUUAUUUCCUAUAAAGGAUGUUAAAUUCGAAGAAGAAGUUACCAGAGAUUUUAUCGAUGGUCAAACUAGUGAUUUAAAGAAAAGACAAGCAUUAUUAUUACCAUGGAUAGAUAAUUCUUUUAUUAAUAAAAGUUUCGUUCAGGAUAGUCCAAGCGAAGAUUAUUUUUUGGCUGGUCAUAUAUUAGAAGAUGUGCCUGACAAAAUAAACUUAGAAGAAGCAAUCGUACGAGGACCAAAUGAAAAACUUAAAGUUUAUUCUGAAUAUAGUUUUGUAAAUAAUUAUUUAACAGAUACCGCAUUUGAAAUUGUAGACAGGGAAGAAGAUGCUGAUAUUUUAUGGUACACUUCUCAUUUCAAGGAAUACAAAGAAUUAUGCAUUCGUAUGCCUCAUGUUUUCGUCAAUCAAUUUCCUUUCGAAAAUAUCUUGACAAUAAAGGAUCUUUUGUCCAUCGUAUGUAGACGUAAGGCAUCGGAGAAAUCUUACGAUGUUGAUACAUUAGAAACUUAUCCAAUAUGGUUACCAACGACAUAUAAUUUAAAUACAGAAUUGGUACAAUUUGUCGCAUAUUUUGAACAACGAGAAUCGAAAAACUUGGACAAUCUGUGGAUCUGCAAACCAUGGAAUUUGGCAAGAGGUUUGGAUACUCAUAUUACAGACAAUCUUUUUCACAUCUUACGAUUACCUAGUACUGGUCCUAAAAUUGCACAAAAAUAUAUAUCUGAACCUGUGUUAUAUGAUAGACCAGAAAUAGGUUUCGUUAAAUUCGAUAUAAGAUACGUCGUCAUGUUAAAAUCUGUCUCACCAUUGAAAGCAUACGCCUAUUCCAAUUUCUUCUUAAGAUUUGCUAACAAAGAAUUUGCAUUAAACAAUUUCGACGUAUACGAACAACACUUUACCGUAAUGAAUUAUUCCGAAAAUACGGAUCUAUGCCAUUUGAAAUGUGCCGAUUUUAUCGUUGAAUGGGAAAAACAAUAUCCCGAUUAUCCUUGGACAUCAUUUAUCGAGCCAACGAUAUUAAACAUGUUUAAGGAUAUAUUCGAAGCUGCUGUAGCUGAAAAACCACCGAAAGGAAUAGCUCAUUUUCCACAAAGUAGGGCCGUAUACGCCAUUGAUUUGAUGUUGGAAUGGAAUAAAAGCGAGAUGCAACCGAUUCUAUUGGAAAUUAAUUUUUCGCCAGAUUGCAAAAGGGCUUGCGAAUAUUAUCCUGAUUUUUAUAACGAUAUAUUCAAUUGCCUUUUCUUAGAUAAAUAUAAUCCUGACGUAUUCCAUGAUUUAUUUCCAACAUCAUCAUUGUCGAACAAUUAAAAAUAUUGUUAUUCAUUGAACUAUAAAAGCACAAAGUGUAUAUCCUAAGUGUAUUAUACCCAUUUUCAUAAGUAUCGAAAAGCUAUUAGCCGAAAGUAUCAAGAAUAUUGCUAUCGCAACCAGCAACACAAGAGGAUUUACUUAUUCAGAAUACGGAGGAAGGGGCUUUCAUUUGGAAGUCGUCUGAUGCAGCCACUUAAUGGAAUAAUAAACGAGGAAACAAUUAGAACAGUUUCAUGACAUAGUUAGCUCAUGGUCAACUGUGUAACCUUGUGUUCUGGUAACAUAGGGUGAGACACAUUGUUUAAUGGAGAAAGGUCUCUAUACGGUACUCUACUUAUGGUGUAUCUCCAAUUGGCUAGUUCUACUGUGAGAUUUGACUAUCAAACAAAAUUGAUUAAUUAAUCCUAACAAACGUAUAAUAUAUACAGUUAUUUAAAAAAAAAGUUUUGUUUUAUUUACAACAAAAAAAUAAAUAAAUGAUUAAGAUUUCAUAUAUAUAUAUAUAUAAACUUACGGAAAAGUUGAAUCGUUUUAUAGCAUGUCUGAACGAUUUAACGCGAGCUUUUGCGACAAAAAAAAAUAAAAUACAAAAAAAACAAAAAAAAAAAAGAAAAACAGAAAGAACACUUUUAUUACGCUUUCGAAAAGUGCGUCCAGGUCGACGUAUAUUUAUAGCAAUUUUUAAUGGGACGAUGAUAUGUCGCCUCAUUUUGUAUUUAUUACAUAGUUAAAAUUAAUAGGCAUAUCCUUGUCUGUGAAUACAUCGUUAUAAAUCAAGCGAUUAUUUUUCAAAUUAUUUUUUUGUUCGUCCGUUUUCGGCCAUUCUCUUUCUUUCACUCUCUCUCUCUCUCUCUCUCUUCGACUACAAUCAUUCCCGGUAAUAACGGAAUUGCACAAUGUAUUUUGUUAAUUAUCUUCGUAUCCGUUAUUCCCUUGUUUGACAAUGACGCCCAACGGUACGCGUAUACGUAAAACCCCCAUUGUUCUCAUAUUUUCCAUAGUGAAAAAAAUGCCAGUUUUUUUUUUAUAAAUAUAUUUUUUUAAUACUUUUUUUUUUUUAAGAUUCUCGAGAUUAAUGUUAUACUCGCGCGUAAUGUCAGAACGAAUGAAUUUCAACGACGACGUUGUUCUGUAAUGGAUUUUUUUUUAAUUUGAUUUUAUUGAUUAUUCUUUUAAAACGCAAUGUAUAAAUAAGAAA
rnacentral:misc_RNA from 1 species